rnacentral:lncRNA from 1 species
GAAGACCAGAAGACAUCAUCCAGAUAAACAGCCAUCAAUCAGACAGCAUCGUCCAACUGUAAGAGAUAUGUUUGUUUUCACUGAGAAUCUUCUUUGCAAAGGUGUAUAAGAGUGGGCAGGUGUAUACAAGUGGACAGUAAAGGAUGAAGAUCCAGAGUAUGUUACUGCUGUUCGCUCUAGUGGGUGUCCUGUUAGCAAGCUCCCUCAAUGAAGAUAACUCUGAGGAAGCUCUCCUGCAGGAGGAUGAUCUAAAAAGUGGAAAGGCUGCAUUUUUGGCAAAGUUGGCUGCUCUGAAGACCAGCGCCUCUGAAGAUGAAGCACCAUUUUGGAGCGUGCUUUGGAACAAAGCCAAGGAAAUUGUGGGGUGAGAAGCGACCAGAAUUGGGAUGCCAAGGAUCCUUUUCAGUCUCCAUAUGGAAUCAACUAUCACCUCUGAAGACAUCACUAACAAUACCUCAAUGAAUCAUUCCAACAUCCAUCCAUCAAUCACUGACUAACAAAAAACAAAACAGUAAUACAGUUCUUUGGUACUUUGGUACUGAGAAGAACUCAUCAACAUAAUGAAGAAUAUAUGUUUUAUCCAUAAACGUACUUUAUGUCCUGACACAUGGUCGUUUUUUCGUCAAGACAGCGGAUUUAUAUUAAUGAUCAGAAUUUCUUUGUGCAAUGUUGUAUGGUUGACGUGUCACACUGUGAUCCUCCAAUAAACUAUCAAGCAUUA